rnacentral:rRNA from 1 species
GACGAACCGUGCGAACGUUGUUCGGAAUCACUGGGCUUAAAGGGCGCGUAGGCGGGCUGUCAAGUUUGGGGUGAAAUCCCGCGGCCCAACCGUGGAACUGCCUCAAAUACUGACGGCCUCGAGGAAGGUAGGGGCAUGCGGAACUGUAGGUGGAGCGGUGAAAUGCGUUGAUAUCUACAGGAACUCCGGUGGCGAAAGCGGCGUGCUGGACCUUUUCUGACGCUGAGGCGCGAAAGCUAGGGGAGCAAACGGG